GAUCUUUUGUCCACUGAGCUGUGGGGAUCCCUUCUCAGCCAGAGCUGGAGGCCAAGAGCAGCCCUUGGGUGCCCUGUGGAUCAUCGUCAUAAGGACUGUCAUGAGUGGGUGCCCAAACACUG
rnacentral:scRNA from 14 species